rnacentral:rRNA from 1 species
AGUCCUACGGGACGCAGCAGUGGGGAAUAUUGGGCAAUGGGCGCAAGCCUGACCCAGCAACGCCGCGUGAAGGAAGAAGGCUUUCGGGUCGUAAACUUCUUUUCUCAGGGACGAAGCAAGUGACGGUACCUGAGGAAUAAGCCACGGCUAACUACGUGCCAGCAGCCGCGGUAAUACGUAGGUGGCAAGCGUUAUCCGGAUUUACUGGGUGUAAAGGGCGUGUAGGCGGGAAAGCAAGUCAGAUGGGAAAACCAUGGGCUCAACCUGUGGCCUGCAUUUGAAACUGUUUUUCUU